UAGCUUCGGUAGCUCAUAUACUAAAAUUGGCAUGAUACAGAGAAGAUGAGCAUGGUCCCUGCUCAAGGAUUACACACAAAUCCAUGAAGCGUACCAUAUUUUU
ensembl:snRNA U6 U6 spliceosomal RNA